rnacentral:rRNA from 1 species
AGUGAACGCUGGCGGUAGGCCUAACACAUGCAAGUCGAACGGCAGCACAGUAAGAGCUUGCUCUUACGGGAGGCGAGUGGCAGACGGGUGGGGAAUACAUCGGCAUCUACUUUUUCGUGGGGGAUAACGUAGGGAAACUUACGCUAAUACCGCAUACGACCUACGGGUGAAAGCAGGGGUUCUUCGUACCUUGCGCGAUUGAAUGAGACGAUGUCGGAUUAGCUAGUUUGCGGGGUAAAGGCCCACCAAGGCGACGAUCCGUAGCUGGUCUGAGAGGAUGAUCAGCCACACUGGAACUGAGACACGGUCCAGACGCCUACGGGAGGCAGCAGUGGGGAAUAUUGGACAAUGGGCGCAAGCCUGAUCCAGCCAUACCGCGUGGGUGAAGAAGGCCUUCGGGUUGUAAAGCCCUUUUGUGGGGAAAGAACAGCAGCAGGUUAAUACCCCGCUGUUCUGACGGUACCCAAAGAAUAAGCACCGGCUAACUUCGUG